rnacentral:lncRNA from 1 species
UUGCUUUUUGUCUGAUUCCUCUGAACAACAAGAAGCAUAGAGCUCACAAAAGCUCAUAGAAGCUGUGUAACUCAGUGCUUCUGAGAGAAGGAAGCAUGAAAAUUGAGCAUUCCUGUUUCCACAUCAGUAUCAGGUAUCUUUUUACUUUCAUAACUGGCUUUUUAAUAACAUAGCUGCUUUACAAGACACCUGGAAAAGGAUCUUACAAGCUACCAGCACAAGAUAAACCACACCAAAUUGGCAAUAUGAUUCAUGCAUCUCCCUCUGCUUUGAGUUUCUCCUCUCAAAAAAUAAAACUAAAUUAAAAUCUUAAAAUAAAAAAAUAAAAUAAAAUAAAAUUUUAUUUUAAUUUCCUUGAGAGACAGGGAUGCUUACCUGGUUGAAAACAGGGCCUAGAAGAAUGAAGAAAAAUGUCAUCACAAGCAAAGAGCAUAGAGUCUGGAGUAGCUAUCUGCUUUCAGUAGGCUGCUGUUAUGUCAUCUAAGAAAGAAUCCAACCCCCAAGUGCUUGAUGAAAUUCAGAUGCAGGUCUCCCUCUAUUUGUGCUGCUAUAAAGCUGGAAAUUAGAUUAUUUGGUCAUGAGUUUCAAACAGAUCUUUUAAUUGGUCACUAAUCAACAGCAAAAUAAAUCAGUAGAAGCUGGAACACUCACCAACUGUUUUCAGUCUCAGAGGUUGUAGCAGCAUAAUAGAGUCAAUGUCUCAAACUUCAAGCACAGUUCUAAAGAAUGUAAGUCAUCAGAACAGGCUACACUUGGAGGAAACAGGAUGUUAUCAACAAUUAAGUCAGCUAACAUCUCAGUCUGGUAUGCACUGGUUCCAACCAGAAGUCAAAAUGACCAUGUCGGCUAUGAGUCAGGCAGGUCACCAAGAGUAAAGGAGCACUGGAUUAUCUUCAGGUCACUGGAAGCAUCGGCCUUCAUAAAACGUCCAUUGUGUUUUUCACAUGCCAGUCUGCUGGUAAUCUAAGAGAAAGCUGUGUUUGGAGGCACCACCCACUGCAUUACCAGGAUAAAAAUGACCUGUAAGCAUCAAACCUGAAAUGGAUACUCUGAAUUUCAGCACAGAUUAGGGAUUAGGCAGUGGGGUGCUAUUUUGCAUCUGAAGAGUCUGACACCGGUACAAAGUGAAAAACAGAGAGCUCGGUAUUUGCCACUUGUGUUUGAAGCACAAAUGUAUUAUCUAUGGGGAAAAACACAGGCAUUUCCCAGGAGCACGGGUUCAUCUAAGUUAUGUGUUGAAAUUGUUUUUCUGUGGAGACAUUCUUACAUGUUACUUUAUUUUAAACACUAAUAUUUGAAUUACUUCUAAAGACUCUAAAUUUAUCUGCUUACUCUGUGCUUACCAGAAUUCAGUCCAAGAUAUUUCAUUUUGACCCAGGAAAUGUAUUUUGCUUUUUUUUUUUUUUUUUUGCUUUUUUUUUUUUUUAAGAGUGGAGAUAAAAACAUACCAGCUCUCGGUUUCCUAAACAUGGAAUUAGUGUCAGAUAAGUGAUGGUCAAAAUCACCCCCUAUCUGAGAUUCUGGAAUGAGAAGAUGUUCUUCAGGCUUUAAGAAAGCCACAGCAUCCAGUGGAAAUUAAGGUUAUUUGGGUUUUGUUUUUUUCUUCAGACAGAAGUUGUCAUAUGCAGAAGGAACAGCUGUUCCAUAUAUCUUUCAAAUCUACAAAACAUUUGCAUUGAAUCACAAAUGAAGCUCUAAGAAGUAACUUCAGAAAAGCCUGAAUUCCUCCCUUUCAGGAUACACAAUCUAAUCAGCACCCAGGGAGAGGAGGAAUGGAUUAGAAAUAGCAGGCUCUG